rnacentral:rRNA from 1 species
AGUGAACGCUGGCGGUAGGCCUAACACAUGCAAGUCGAACGGCAGCACAGUAAGAGCUUGCUCUUACGGGUGGCGAGUGGCGGACGGGUGAGGAAUACAUCGGAAUCUACUUUUUCGUGGGGGAUAACGUAGGGAAACUUACGCUAAUACCGCAUACGACCUACGGGUGAAAGCAGGGGAUCUUCGGACCUUGCGCGAUUGAAUUAGCCGAUGUCGGAUUAGCUAGUUGGCGGGGUAAAGGCCCACCAAGGCGACGCUCCGUAGCUGGUCUGAGAGGAUGAUCAGCCACACUGGAACUGAGACACGGUCCAGACUCCUACGGGAGGCAGCAGUGGGGAAUAUUGGACAAAGGGCGCAAGCCUGAUCCAGCCAUACCGCGUGGGUGAAGAAGGCCUUCGGGUUGUAAAGCCCUUUUGUUGGGAAAGAAAAGCAGCAGGUUAAUACCCCGCUGUUCUGACGGUACCCAAAGAAUAAGCACCGGCUAACUUCGUG